AGACCCGAAACCCGGUGAUCUAGCCAUGGGCAGGUUGAAGGUUGGGUAACACUAACUGGAGGACCGAACCGACUAAUGUUGAAAAAUUAGCGGAUGACCUGUGGCUGGGGGUGAAAGGCCAAUCAAACCGGGAGAUAGCUGGUUCUCCCCGAAAGCUAUUUAGGUAGCGCCUCGUGAAUUCAUCUCCGGGGGUAGAGCACUGUUUCGGCUAGGGGGCCAUCCCGGCUUACCAACCCGAUGCAAACUGCGAAUACCGGAGAAUGUUAUCACGGGAGACACACGGCGGGUGCUAACGUCCGUCGUGAAGAGGGAAACAACCCAGACCGCCAGCUAAGGUCCCAAAGUCAUGGUUAAGUGGGAAACGAUGUGGGAAGGCCCAGACAGCCAGGAUGUUGGCUUAGAAGCAGCCAUCAUUUAAAGAAAGCGUAAUAGCUCACUGGUCGAGUCGGCCUGCGCGGAAGAUGUAACGGGGCUAAACCAUGCACCGAAGCUGCGGCAGCGACACUGUGUGUUGUUGGGUAGGGGAGCGUUCUGUAAGCCUGUGAAGGUGUGUCGUGAGGCAUGCUGGAGGUAUCAGAAGUGCGAAUGCUGACAUAAGUAACGAUAAAGCGGGUGAAAAGCCCGCUCGCCGGAAGACCAAGGGUUCCUGUCCAACGUUAAUCGGGGCAGGGUGAGUCGACCCCUAAGGCGAGGCCGAAAGGCGUAGUCGAUGGGAAACGGGUUAAUAUUCCCGUACUUGGUGUUACUGCGAAGGGGGGACGGAGAAGGCUAUGUUGGCCGGGCGACGGUUGUCCCGGUUUAAGCGUGUAGGUGUGUGUUCCAGGUAAAUCCGGUUCACUUUAACACUGAGGCGUGACGACGAGGCACUACGGUGCUGAAGCAACAAAUGCCCUGCUUCCAGGAAAAGCCUCUAAGCAUCAGGUAACAUCAAAUCGUACCCCAAACCGACACAGGUGGUCAGGUAGAGAAUACCAAGGCGCUUGAGAGAACUCGGGUGAAGGAACUAGGCAAAAUGGUGCCGUAACUUCGGGAGAAGGCACGCUGACACGUAGGUGAAGUGAUUUACUCAUGGAGCUGAAGUCAGUCGAAGAUACCAGCUGGCUGCAACUGUUUAUUAAAAACACAGCACUGUGCAAACACGAAAGUGGACGUAUACGGUGUGACGCCUGCCCGGUGCCGGAAGGUUAAUUGAUGGGGUCAGCGCAAGCGAAGCUCCUGAUCGAAGCCCCGGUAAACGGCGGCCGUAACUAUAACGGUCCUAAGGUAGCGAAAUUCCUUGUCGGGUAAGUUCCGACCUGCACGAAUGGCGUAAUGAUGGCCAGGCUGUCUCCACCCGAGACUCAGUGAAAUUGAACUCGCUGUGAAGAUGCAGUGUACCCGCGGCAAGACGGAAAGACCCCGUGAACCUUUACUAUAGCUUGACACUGAACAUUGAGCCUUGAUGUGUAGGAUAGGUGGGAGGCUUUGAAGUGUGGACGCCAGUCUGCAUGGAGCCGACCUUGAAAUACCACCCUUUAAUGUUUGAUGUUCUAACGUGGACCCGUUACCCGGGUUGCGGACAGUGUCUGGUGGGUAGUUUGACUGGGGCGGUCUCCUCCUAAAGAGUAACGGAGGAGCACGAAGGUUGGCUAAUCCUGGUCGGACAUCAGGAGGUUAGUGCAAUGGCAUAAGCCAGCUUGACUGCGAGCGUGACGGCGCGAGCAGGUGCGAAAGCAGGUCAUAGUGAUCCGGUGGUUCUGAAUGGAAGGGCCAUCGCUCAACGGAUAAAAGGUACUCCGGGGAUAACAGGCUGAUACCGCCCAAGAGUUCAUAUCGACGGCGGUGUUUGGCACCUCGAUGUCGGCUCAUCACAUCCUGGGGCUGAAGUAGGUCCCAAGGGUAUGGCUGUUCGCCAUUUAAAGUGGUACGCGAGCUGGGUUUAGAACGUCGUGAGACAGUUCGGUCCCUAUCUGCCGUGGGCGCUGGAGAACUGAGGGGGGCUGCUCCUAGUACGAGAGGACCGGAGUGGACGCAUCACUGGUGUUCGGGUUGUCAUGCCAAUGGCACUGCCCGGUAGCUAAAUGCGGAAGAGAUAAGUGCUGAAAGCAUCUAAGCACGAAACUUGCCCCGAGAUGAGUUCUCCCUGAGACUUAAAGUCUCCUGAAGGAACGU
rnacentral:rRNA from 1 species